rnacentral:tRNA from 2 species
GUUUCUAUAGCUCAGCAGGAUAGAGCGUCCGCCUCCUAAGCGGAAGGCCGGCGGUUCGAAUCCGCCUAGGAACA